CAGCCCUAAACGAUGCGCGUUAGGUGUAUCGGUGACCACGAGUCACCGAGGUGCCGAAGGGAAACCGUGAAACGUGCCGCCUGGGAAGUACGGUCGCAAGGCUGAAACUUAAAGGAAUUGGCGGGGGAGCACAACAGCGGGUGGAGCUUGCGGUUUAAUUGGAUUCAACGCCGGAAAUCUUACCGGGACCGACAGCAACAUGAAGGCCAAGCUGAAGACUUUGCCGGAUUAGCUGAGAGGAGGUGCAUGGCGUAGUCGUGU
rnacentral:rRNA from 1 species